CUCCAACGUCCAUCGCUCUUUUAUCCUGCUCAACUAUGGGAACAUUUCAGAAACAGAACAAAUUUGGCAGGCUGGAUACAGCACAGAGGAUUCUGUCAGUUCUUUCACAAGUCCAGCAACCAGUGCCCCACAGCUCUCUUCUAGCAGCAAUAUCAAUGUGAAUGGCCGCUGCUCGUUCCAUGUUGACGGCUCACCAAACUUGCCAACUAAUCUCCUGCCUUCUGGGAAUAAAGACAUAGUGAACCCCCCUGCUGAAGAUGGAAGCUCUGGUGUCAUUUACUUGCAGCAGCCUUUCAAAUACUUUGGACGCACAUACAAUCAGAUCUUUGUGAACAACAAUGGCUAUCUAACGUUUACUGAGGCACUGACUGCCUCCAGACCCUUUCUGGAUUCUGCAAGAGACAUCAUUGCUCCUCUUUGGACUCGCCUUGACA